UGCGCUGUGCGCCGCGCUGGAUCGGCUGUUUCUCAAAGUCCGUCUGAAAGGAAGUCACUGCCGCUGCGCGUGGACGCAAUGGAGGGGGGGGGGGACCAAGCCGAGACCACCACGCCCACCACCACCCGCGGCACCUCCCUCCAAUCGCAGGCGGCACAGGGCGGCCGAUACUGGAACUUCUGUGAUCGAUCCGAAACCAAGUGAAUACGACUCGCACUGCCAAUAACGAUACUUUUCGGGUGGAAUGUUUUCAAGAUCGUUUUGUGAUUUUGCCCAUGGUUGGUUCAUCAUGGUAAGGAUUUGUACUUAUAUGUGCAAUCUCUCAGCAAUUUAACAAUAUAUAAUUACAACUAUAAAUACAAUGUAAUAAGAUUAAAAUAUAAUUCAGUCAGUCCAAUGAAUUACAUACAAUUGUUUGAGCAAAAAUAAUGUCCAUAUUGGAUAAUAAAACUAUCGACUCAACUUAGAUCUAUUAGUUCUCAUUCAAAUCAUUAGGCUUUUCACACAAAGGCCGUCUGUUGUAGACAAUAUAAUAUAAUAUAUAUGAAUAUAUAUAUCAAUGUCACAAUCGGAACAACACCACAAAAACUACAAACUAAUAUAUCGAUCCCUCACUCUUGUACGAUACUGGUAUCACACCGUUUGGAUCGAUCCCACAGGCAUUACUCCACAGAGAGAAAGACAGAUAAAGAGAUAGAUAGAUAGAUAUUUGGAUAGAUAUAUAGAUUUAUGUUGAACAUGAACGUGAAAUGUUCAGUUGAAACUGCAGUGACGUCACCAGACCGCUAGCCAAGCUAAAGCUAGGUAGCUAGGGAGCUUCGGUAGUCUGGACGCCCCCAAAUGCUGCCUCUCACAGAAAGAAGAAGAAAGACAUCAUGAUUGUGGAUGAUGGGCAACCCCCCCCCCCUCUUGAACUUACAGUAAGUAAUACAAAAAUGUGACAUCAAGAAAGCUGUUAGAGCAGAUUAUUUGUGUUGACAUGCCAUCCUGUGGGAAACGGGAAUCGCUUUGGGACACGGGAGAUGGAAAACAAUGUCCCGGCAUCACCACAGUUUCAGAAGCCGUCCAGAGUGUUGAAAUUGAAGAGCACAAAGCAGGAGAAGAAAGGGUCAACUGGUCUCUGAUGAAAAGAUUGUUUCAAUGGCCUGUGCUGGCAUUCACGGGGAAUGAAAACAGAUCAUUCAGAGCGGAAAAGCUGGCAGAGCUCACAAAGAAUCAACUUUUCACUUGGAAAAGGCAAAGUCAAUUGAAAGACAACUUUUUAUAAGCAUUUAAUUUAGCCCGGGCUCAAAGGCAUUAUGGCAGGCAGCUCAGCAAGGACAGUGCUUUCAAAGGCCGUCUGAAUAUCCACUUAUUUUCUUAUUCACACGUGAAAGACCACGGUAUUCCAGCGGAAAGGUUCAGGGUCUGCCUGUUGGUGGGAAUGGCGUUGUGGUCAGUCGCGGGCGGAAAAUGCACCACUAGAAAGUAGAGUUUGUGCCUUCAAACAGCCAAUAACAAUGUACGGAAGCGUGCACCUGAACUAGUCACGCACUGCCAAGCCCCGCAACGCUUUCAUUUCGUAUUUUACGAAUGACCGCUAUGCUAACGUUUGUUGUGAUGUUCCUUAAUGUAACUUCAUGUAACCGUGCGUGGGCGACCCUGGGGCCAAAGCCAGAUUGGAACCUCUGCACCCUCAUUUGCUGUCCUUAUCCAUCCAGGACGCACGCCUGCCUCAUGAUCUGCAGAAUGCAAACAAACACGACGAGAGACACGCCAGGCAUCCUCAAUUAACCAGCAGUGACAAGCCGGGCCGCCAGGAAUCUCCACAAUGCCGCUGCUCGCAGCUGCCCACCUUCCUUCUUGAUAUUUUGACACGUAACACAUGCAGAUAUGCUAACAAGUUAUAUACCAUGCUGGGAAAAAGUGUUUGCAUGAACAAGUUUAACAGUCGUCUUCCUUUUCUUGAAUGAUCGUAGUACAGCCCAUCUUUUACCCCCCGACCUCAUCCAUGACAUCAUUUCAUUCCACAAACUGAAAUUAUGUGUGUCUUUAACAUUAUGGAGUCCCACAUAUAAGUGUUAAGUCCUGCAUACGUGUGUUCUGCUGUCAUCUAAAGAUACGCAAUCAUGUUGCACACGUCUUAUGACACAAACCAAAAAGUUCGGCUCUACUCGUCUACACGUAAACACUGAAGCCCAAGUGCCAUCCAAUGUCAUCAUUGAUUGCCCAAUGUCAUCCUGGCCAAAACGUUCCAACAUUUUUUAAGGAGUGUGGACGUUUGAGUGUGGACAAAAGGCCAUAAAAGGCCAUUUUUAUAAGAUCUACGUCUGUGUAAACCUAGUCCGAGUCGCUGUCACACUUUACUAAGGUUCAGUCAAAAAGGGAGACAGGAUCACCAACUACAAAAAUAAUUAUGACAUGUCAAAGUUGGGUGCAGACACGUUUUAUGAUGGACACAACGCCCCAAACUGAAUCCAACAGGACACACACGCACACAUACACACACACACAAUCCCAGCAUCUUUGGUGCCAUUAAAAAGUGAACAUUCUGCAAAGGAAGAAUGACAAGAAGCCUCAAGCGUGUAAGAGAAUUUGCGGCACAACGUGGAAUCCUCUUAGCAUAUUUAGCUGCGGAUGGGCUGGAGAGACAUUCUUUACCGAUGUGUCGUUUUAUUAGACACCCUGGUCUCAGAUGAGGUUCGCUAUCCUGACGUGAAACUUCGGUGCUUGUUGACCUUUCUUCAAAUAUCGCUGCUGACAGUCGCAAGCGUCAUGCUUUUUAUUGCUGGUUUCUAACAUUGCACAAUAGACUAGGGGCACUGCCCUCUGCUUCUGUCUGCCAUUAUAACAGAGAGCUGUGGUUUUAACAUGAUGCAAGUGCGUUAAUUACACUAAAGAUUUUAACCUUCAUUCAUUUUCUACCGCUUAUCCUCACGAGGGUCACAGAGGAUGCUUGAGCCUAUCCCAGCUGU